ACGGAGGGGGCUAGCGUUGUUCGGAAUUACUGGGCGUAAAGCGCGCGUAGGCGGCUUUUCAAGUCAGAGGUGAAAUCCCAGGGCUCAACCCUGGAACUGCCUUUGAAACUGAAUCGCUAGAAUAUCGGAGAGGUGAGUGGAAUUCCGAGUGUAGAGGUGAAAUUCGUAGAUAUUCGGAAGAACACCAGUGGCGAAGGCGACUCACUGGACGAUUAUUGACGCUGAGGUGCGAAAGCGUGGGGAGCAAACAGG
rnacentral:rRNA from 1 species